GACGAACCGUGCAAACGUUGUUCGGAAUCACUGGGCUUAAAGGGCGCGUAGGCGGACCGGAUAGUCUGUGGUGAAAGCCCCCAGCUUAACUGGGGAAGUGCCAUGGAUACUGCCGGUCUGGAGGAGGGUAGGGGCAUCUGGAACGCUGGGUGGAGCGGUGAAAUGCGCAGAUAUCAGGAGGAACACCGGUGGCGAAGGCGGGUCUCUGGGCCGAUACUGACGCUGAGGAGCGAAAGCGUGGGGAGCGAACAGG
rnacentral:rRNA from 1 species